GGACCCUGAAGUCAAGACCUGAGCUGGGAUCCAGUGUCGGUCCCUUAACUGACUGAGCCACCCAGGCGCCCCCCAGAAAUUCUUAAUUUUAAUAGAGUAGAAUCUGUCAGCUUUUGUCUUUAUAGUUUGUGCAAACUUCUUUUCUAUCUGAAGAUCAUAAAGACGUCCAUUUACAUGGUGUUCUAAAUUAUUUACAGUUUUGUAUUUCACAUGUAAGUCUUCAAUCCACCGGGAAUUAAUUUUGUGUAUGUCGAGAUAGGGAUCCGAUUUCAUCUCUCCCCCAUGUGGUUAAUUAGUUGUCCCGGCACCAGUUGGUGAAUCCAUUUAUCCCCCACUAGUCUGCAGUUCCCCCUUCUGUCCGAAAUCAAAUUUCCAUGAGCACUUAUCUUUGGUUCUGGUCUCUAUCCUGAUCCAACACUGUUGUUCCGUGCCCGCAUCAAUACCACACCUUCGAAUUUCCUUACCAGGUGGAGGCAAGUCUCCCACUUUCUUCGGGAGUACCUUGGCUAUUUGCAGCCUCAGCUUUUCCAGAGAAAUGUCAGAAUCAGCUUGCCAAAGCUCACACAAAAUACUCUUGGAAUUCUUACUGGGAUGGCGUUGAAUUUAUAAGGCAAUUUGUGGACAGCUGACAUCUUUCAGUUACUGUCUUUUUAUCCAAGAAUAUAGUCCACUGUCCAUUCAUUUAGAUCUUCUUUAAUCUCUGAUGUCUUUUCAAUAAAGUUCUGUGAUGUUUCCAGCAAAGGGCUUGCACAUCUUUUGUUAGAUUUGUUAUUAAGUCUUCCGUCCUUCCCACCUUCUUGCAUUUUUCUUAAUUUCUGAUAUUGUAAAGCCCUUUUAAAAAAUUGUUGCUGUAUAUAAAAAUGCAGAUAUAUACUUUUAUAUAUUGAUCGUGUAUCCAGGCUUAAAAAAAAACUCUUAUUCUAACAUAAUGUAGCUAUAAGUUAUUUUAAGAUUCUCAUAUAUUCAUAUCAUCAGCAAAGACUGGCAAUUAUUUCUCUCUUCCCAAUCCUCCAAUAUUUUAUUUCUUUUUUCUUGCCUUUCUACCCUGGUUUGGAUCUUCAGCGCAAUGCUAACUUACAGGCAACUUACAAUAGGCAACUUAUGUCCAGUUGGAUUUUAAAGGGAAUUAAAUAUAACAUUGGUUGUACAGUUGUCGUUUUGGGUAUAUAUAGUAUUUGGUCUUUAUUUUGUUGUUAAAAAUACCACAAUUUUAGAGGUUUAGCAAGAAAAAUAUAUUAUCUUACAGUUCUGGAGGCCAAACAUCUGACUCUGUCUCUCACGGGACUAAAAUCAAGGUGUGGACAGGGUUGUGCUUCCUUCUGGAGUCACUAGAGAAGAAUCCAUUUCCUUGACUUUUCCAGCUUCUAGAGGUGCCCGUGUCCCUUGGCUGUGGCUCCGUCCUCCAUCUUCAAAGCCGGUAAUGUUGCAUCUCUGGCCCUUCCAGAGCGACGUCUCCCUGACCAACUCCCUGAAUGUGUGUCCACAUUCAACCAGCCAGAAAAUGUUCUCCACGUUAAAGGAUUGAAUGAUCAGACUGGAUCACCUGGAUAACCCAAGAUCAUGUCCUGAAACCUAAUCAUGUCUUCAGAGUCCCUUUUGCCAUGAAUGGAUGAAAACCAAAAUGCAGGCAAGAGGAGGUAAGAGCAGAGUUUAUUGAAGACGGAGAGAGACUGGAGCGAUACAGAGAAGACCAGCAUGGCCUCUGCACAAGGAUGAUGUGCAAAUUCAUGAAGCGUUCCAUAUU